rnacentral:rRNA from 1 species
UAACGAAUCUUCCGCAAUGCGCGAAAGCGUGACGGAGCAAUGCCGCGUGCAGGAUGAAGCCUUUCGGGGUGUAAACUGCUGUCAGGGUUUAGCAACACAAUGAGCAGACCCAAAGGAAGGGCCGGCUAACUUCGUGCCAGCAGCCGCGGUAAUACGAAGGGCCCGAGCGUUAAUCGGAAUUAUUGGGCUUAAAGCGUACGUAGGCGGACACGCAGGCGCCUUGUGAAAUCCCUCGGCUCAACCGAGGAACUGCUUGACGAACCGCGUGUCUUGAGGCAAGUAGAGGCGGUCGGAACGCUAGGUGGAGUGGUGAAAUGCGUUGAUAUCUAGCGGAACGCCGAAGGUGAAGACAGGCCGCUGGGCUUGUUCUGACGCUGAGGUACGAAAGCGUGGGGAGCGAACGGGAUUAGAUACCCCUGUAGUCC